ensembl:lncRNA
AAGAUUGUUGAGGCUUUAUUUUUGCUCAUACACCAGAAAUAAUAUUUUUUCAUGGAAUCAAGAAGCAUAUUUCUUAUCUCUUAAUUUCUUCCUCUCAGCAACAACAUCCCCAAAUGAUGCUGAUGUUGCCGCUGUUGCCAGCCGAAUUGAGGAGCUGGUGGCAAGUGUUAAGAGGAGGUCCCAGCGUCUUUACAAGGAUAGUGACGGAUGCAAAGGACGUGCCCGAAUCCGCCGAAAGAUCAGGGAGGAAAAAUCUUAAAUUCUGUAGUGGAAAAAGUACAACACCUUGGUUCCUAAUGCAGAAAAAAACUGUCAUUGGACACCAUUCUAUCUGACGAGAUUGUUUGGCCAUGGCAGCUUACACACGGUGACUCUGUUGAUCUAAGGACAAAGAGGAAGGCGUUCGACAUUGUGAUGGCAGUAAGGAGACUUGAGGAGGAGAAGAGGAUUCUUAUUGCAGAGAUGAACAAGCAUUGGAAGUCUCUUUGCUCCCGUGCAGACACCCUGAAGCAGAUGUCAUCCAAGCUUUCUAAUGUGACAUCAGGUGAGACUUGGGGCCUGCUUCAAGAUGGUAUCCGAGGUCUACAAAGCUUGACGAUGAAGAACAAGCGAGCAAGCAACAGCCUGGCAAAGCAUGCAAAAGAAAUAUUAUGUUCAAGUUCUGACUGAAACAGAAAUUAACUUUGAUAGUGAUUCUGAGGAAUACCAUACCAGUAGUGACUCUGAGCAAGAUUAAACAUGGCCAGAGUCCUUUUUUUAUGCUGUUGUGUGCUGGGGAGGCAGCAUUAAAGAAGAGGGCCGCUGGGACAGGUUGUUAAGGAAAGCUGGCUCUGUGUUUGGCAUGGAGCUGGAGUUAAUUAUUUAACAAACUGAGGAUAAUUUGCAGUAGCAGUCUUCUGUCAUGCUCAACAUUGAGGAGGUCCUUUGUCCCCAGGGCAUACCAGCAACUCAAUGUCACAGAAAAGGUUAGGGGAGAAAUUGACUUUUUCAGCAUGAGUCUCACCCUGCGCCAACCAUUACAUCGCUUUGUCUAUUGUCUAGUAUCCACUAUCCAUUUGACUGUCUUACAGGCUACAUUAGCCCCUCUACACAUUCUGAACUGUGGUUUCAACAUUUACCCCUGUUGGCUUGUAUAAUCUUUUUUCUUUUUUUAUAUAUAUUUAAGUUUCUGUUUUUUUCUAUCUAUUUUUAACUUCUUUGUAUUGUUUUUUUGUUAAGCAAUACUAUUAUGCUCAGACUCUUUUUUUCCAUAGUCAUAUUAAACAUGCACAGCUUUGCACUGAUUAAAUCCCUGCACUGUUUACUUUUUGCACUACCACCACUGCAAAUCACUCUAUAGUUGCCCAUCAUGUAUCACAGGGUCAGUCCCUACCAGGCCUUUGUAAUCACUUGACAUGCUCUUCACUUUUUUUACAUUUGUGAUUUUUUUGUUAUGUGUCUGAGUUGUGUGUUGUUUUUUUGUGGUUGUAUAAGCUAAUAAAUGCC